rnacentral:rRNA from 1 species
GCGAACGCUGGCGGCAGGCCUAAUACAUGCAAGUCGAACGGCUUCUUCGGAAGCAGUGGCGGACGGGUGAGUAACGCGUGGGAACGUGCCCUUUGGUACGGAACAACUGAGGGAAACUUCAGCUAAUACCGUAUGUGCCCUUCGGGGGAAAGAUUUAUCGCCAUUGGAGCGGCCCGCGUUAGAUUAGCUAGUUGGUGGGGUAAAGGCCUACCAAGGCAACGAUCUAUAGCUGGUCUGAGAGGAUGAUUAGCCACACUGGGACUGAGACACGGCCCAGACUCCUACGGGAGGCAGCAGUAGGGAAUCUUGCGCAAUGGGCGAAAGCCUGACGCAGCCAUGCCGCGUGAAUGAUGAAGGUCUUAGGAUUGUAAAAUUCUUUCACCGGGGACGAUAAUGACGGUACCCGGAGAAGAAGCUCCGGCUAACUUCGUGCCAGCCGCCGCCGUAAGAC